rnacentral:rRNA from 1 species
ACUCAAAUGAAUUGACGGGGGCUCACACAAGCGGUGGAGCAUGUGGCUUAAUUCGAAGCAACGCGAAGAACCUUAUCCUGGGCUUGACAUGCAUAGAUUAGCUCCGUGAAAGCGGAGUCACACCCGCAAGGGCGGAAUAUGCACAGGUGCUGCAUGGCUGUCGUCAGCUCGUGCUGUGAAGUGUUGGGUUAAGUCCCUUAACGAGCGAAACCCUUGCCGCUAGUUACCAUCAGGUCAUGCUGGGGACUCUAGCGGGACUGCCGGUGUCAAACCGGAGGAAGGUGGGGAUGACGUCAAGUCCUCAUGGCCUUUAUGCCCAGGGCUGCACACGUGCUACAAUGGCAUCCACAAAGCGACGCAAUGCCGCGAGGCGGAGCAAAUCGCAAAAAAGAUGCCCCAGUUCGGAUUGCAGUCUGCAACUCGACUGCAUGAAGUUGGAAUCGCUAGUAAUCGCGGAUCAGCUACGCCGCGGUGAAUACGUUCCUGAGCCUUGUACACACCGCCCGU